rnacentral:rRNA from 1 species
GACAGAGGGUGCAAACGUUGCUCGGAAUCACUGGGCGUAAAGGGCGUGUAGGCGGGAAGGAAAGUCAGAUGUGAAAUCCCCAGGCUCAACCUGGGAACUGCAUUUGAAACUCCCUUUCUUGAGUGUCGGAGAGGAAAGCGGAAUUCCUGGUGUAGAGGUGAAAUUCGUAGAUAUCAGGAGGAACACCAGCGGCGAAGGCGGCUUUCUGGACGAUAACUGACGCUGAGACGCGAAAGCGUGGGGAGCAAACAGG